GCAUAGCUGUAAACAACGAUACCAACACACUCGCUAUCCGCCUGGGGACUACAAGCAUUAGCUUGAAACCCAAAGGACUUGGCGGUGCUUUAGACCCACCUAGAGGAGCCUGUUCUAGAACUGAUAACCCCCGUUAAACCUCACCCUAUCUUGCACAUCAGCCUAUAUACCGCCGUCGCCAGCUUACCUUGUGAGAGCAUAAAAGUGAGCAAAAAUGGUAAACCCAAAAACGUCAGGUCGAGGUGUAGUAGAUGUUAGGGGAAGAAAUGGGCUACAUUCAUCCCUGAUGAAUACGAAUAGUUUACUGAAACAUAAACUUGAAGGAGGAUUUAGCAGUAAGAAGGAAAUAGAGUGUCCAUCUGAAACUGGCCCUGAAGCGCG
rnacentral:rRNA from 1 species